GACGGAGGGGGCAAGCGUUGUCCGGACUCACUGGGCGUAAAGGGUGCGUAGGCGGUCUCGUGCGUCGGCGCUGGAAUCAUACGGCUUAACCGUGUGGCGCGUGCCGAUACGACGGGACUUGAGGCUCUGAGAGGGUGGCGGAACUCCUGGUGUAGUGGUGAAAUGCGCAGAUAUCAGGAAGAACACCCGUGGCGAAGGCGGCUCUCUGGGGACGGUACUGACGGCUGAGGUGCGAAAAGCGUGGGGGAGCAAA
rnacentral:rRNA from 1 species